rnacentral:rRNA from 1 species
GACGAACGCUGGCGGCGUGCUUAACACAUGCAAGUCGAACGGAAAGGCCCUGCUUUUGUGGGGUGCUCGAGUGGCGAACGGGUGAGUAACACGUGAGUAACCUGCCCUUGACUUUGGGAUAACUUCAGGAAACUGGGGCUAAUACCGGAUAGGAGCUCCUGCUGCAUGGGGGGGGUUGGAAAGUUUCGGCGGUUGGGGAUGGACUCGCGGCUUAUCAGCUUGUUGGUGGGGUAGUGGUUUACCAAGGCUUUGACGGGUAGCCGGCCUGAGAGGGUGACCGGCCACAUUGGGACUGCGAUACGGCCCAGACUCCUACGGGAGGCAGCAGUGGGGAAUAUUGCACAAUGGGCGGAAGCCUGAUGCAGCAACGCCGCGUGCGGGAUGACGGCCUUCGGGGUGUAAACCGCUUUCGCCUGUGACGAAGCGUGAGUGACGGUAAUGGGUAAAGAAGCACCGGCUAACUACGUG